rnacentral:rRNA from 1 species
UGAGGAAUAUUGCUCAAUGGCCGCAAGGCUGAAGCAGCAACGCCGCGUGAGGGAUGAAGGAUCUAUGGUCUGUAAACCUCUGUAGAGAAGGAAAAAUAACCCAUUAUAUGGGCUUGAUAGUACUUCUAGAGUAAGCCCCGGCUAACUACGUGCCAGCAGCCGCGGUAAUACGUAGGGGGCGGGCGUUGUCCGGAAUCACUGGGUGUAAAGGGUGCUCAGGCGGGUCGAUAGGUCAGAGGUGAAAUUUCACAGCUUAACUGUGAAUGUGCUUUUGAUACUGUCGGUCUAGAGUUCAGAAGAGGGGAAUGGAAUUCGUGGUGUAGCGGUGAAAUGCGUAGAUAUCAAGAAGAACACCAGUUGCGAAGGCGGUUGCCUGGUCUGUAACUGACGCUCAAGCACGAAAGCGUGGGGAUCAAACA